UAUCUCUGUAGAGUCUGCAUAUCAAUAAGCGGAGGAAAAGAAACUAACUAGGAUUCCCUUAGUAACGGCGAGUGAAGCGGGAAGAGCUCAAAUUUGAAAUCUUCAAGGUUCUACCUUGACGAAUUGUAGUUUAAAGAAGUGUUUUCUGUUGGUGUUUUGGUAAAAGUUCUUUGGAAUAGGACAUCAUAGAGGGUGAGAAUCCCGUAUUUGACCAUUACUUCCAGCGUUGUGAUACACUUUCAAAGAGUCGGAUUGUUUGGGAAUGCAGUCCAAAAUGGGUGGUAAAUUUCAUCUAAAGCUAAAUAUUGGCGAGAGACCGAUAGCGAACAAGUACCGUGAGGGAAAGAUGAAAAGAACUUUGAAAAGAGAGUUAAACAGUACGUGAAAUUGUCAAAAGGGAAGCGUUUGACACCAGUGUUGUUUUUCUGAAAAUCAAUUAAAGAACUGUUUAUGCUAAGUUGUUUAGACUUUAUCAGCUAACUGUUUAGUUUUGAGCUUUUCUUUAAUGCACUUUUCAGUUAACAAGUCAACAUCAAUUUCUUUUGCUGUAAAAAAGCUUGAGGAAGGUGGCUUGAGAUUCGUCUUAAGUGUUUAUAGCCUCUUGCCUAUGCAGUCGGAGAGAUUGAGGUCUGCAGCGUAGAUCCUUCGGGGCUAAAUGCAUUUGUGCUAAGUUAUAGCAUUUUAUAGACAACUUGUUGACUAUGAUUUGUCUUGUAGCUUACUCGCUUAUGUUAUUUUACCUACGCUUAGGAUGUUGACGAUCAGCUGAGCGCG
rnacentral:rRNA from 1 species